AUAUAUGGCCAUAACAUGUUGAAAGCACCAGUUCUCGUCCGAUCACCGAAGUUAAGCAACGUUGAGCCUAGUUAGUACUUAGAUGGGUGACCGCUUGGGAAACAUAGGUGCUAUAAGUA